UACGUAGGGUGCGAGCGUUGUCCGGAAUUAUCGGGCGUAAAGAGCUCGUAGGCGGUUUGUCGCGUCUGCUGUGAAAACUGGAGGCUCAACCUCCAGCCUGCAGUGGGUACGGGCAAACUAGAGUGCGGUAGGGGAGAUUGGAAUUCCUGGUGUAGCGGUGGAAUGCGCAGAUAUCAGGAGGAACACCGAUGGCGAAGGCAGAUCUCUGGGCCGUAACUGACGCUGAGGAGCGAAAGCAUGGGGAGCGAACAGG
rnacentral:rRNA from 1 species